GCCUUACCUUGCACAGAGGGUAAAAAGAAAAUGCAAGACCACCAUGCUGCAUCGGGAUCUCUGAAAGAACGUGAGGAAGACGGUUUCCAAAGGCAGGUGAAGAAAGUACGCGUCCUUGAUGAAAUCAGUGGACAGAGAACUAUGGACACUGAAGGGAAGGUGGACAUGAACGGAUGUGAGCUGGUGGGAAAGCAGCAGCUGUUGGCAGCAAAGGAGGAGGCAAAAUUGGCUGAAGAGGAGACAAGAUGGUAUAAGAUAAGACUUGAAGAAUGUCACGGGCAAAUGCGGGAAGCAGAGAUCAUUUGGAGACACCAGGUAACCUGCCUUCCUCCUGACACACCGAGUCCUCAGCACCUGAUGCAGACAGUUAUUGUGGCCCUGAGAACCCCUAGCCAUGGGGUGUUUCUUGAUGUGUUGACAU